AGAAGAAUGAGUGAGUUUGCUAGAGCUGCAUUUUCCAGGCGACGUUUGCAAUUGCAGGAAGGAAUUGUAUGAAUGAUGAUGGAUGGUAGAUGUGAGAAUGUGGGGGUACGAAUGUGGGGGUGUUUCUGAAUGGUAAUUUUUGUUGAACAUUGUGUUGUGAUGGGGCUACCAACCCUUAACUGUUUUGGAGUUUAAAUUGGAAGUGCCCUUCUGGUACGAGGCCUGACCGGAGGCUUUUAAUCUGGUACCACGGGUAACCAGGAGCCCACGGAACUUGUUCCGUCCUGGUUAGUUGGUGCGGCCCUUCGGGGAGUAUCGUGGUGGUUGUGGUUUAACACCCAAAUGCGGGUAGAGCAUCGCUCGACGUGGAGUUGCGUCAUACAACCGGGUUCCGUGACCCAGAUUACGGAAGAGGCUUAGAUAGUCCUCGUGCCAAACCAAGGUAGAAGUCACAACCAAACAGUCGUGUCUUUAAUUGGUACCUGCGGAAUUGUUCCAAGGGGGCGGUGAUUGACGCUUGAAUUAAUCCUAUACUAGUAUACUACUAUUAAGCCAUCGCGGCAGGUGCUCACGUUAAGCCCACUGACUUUCAUGUCCCUAUCUACUAUCUAGCGAAACCACAGCCAAGGGAACGGGCUUGGAAUAAUUAGCGGGGAAAGAAGACCCUUUUGAGCUUGACUCUAAUCUGGCAGUGUAAGGAGACAUAAGAGGUGUAGAAUAAGUGGGAGAUAUUAGACUUCGGUUUGGUAUCGACAAUGAAAUACCACUACUCUUAUUGUUUCCUUACUUACUUGAUUAAAUGGAACGUGUAUCAUUUCCUAGCCAUUAUACGGAUAUAAUUAUUAUGUCUUAUGGUAUUGGGUUUUGAUGCAAGCUUCUUGAUCAAAGUAUCACGAGUUUGUUAUAUAAUCGCAAACAAAUUCUUUAAUGAGAGAAUGCAUUUAUGUAUUAUUGAUUUAAAAAUUUGGUAUAACUCCAAUUACUCAGGUAUGAUCCAAUUCAAGGACAUUGCCAGGUAGGGAGUUUGACUGGGGCGGUACAUCUCUCAAAUAAUAACGGAGGUGUCCCAAGGCCAGCUCAGUGCGGACAGAAACCACACAUAGAGCAAAAGGGCAAAUGCUGACUUGAUCUCGGUGUUCAGUACACACAGGGACAGCAGUGGGAACC
rnacentral:ncRNA from 1 species